UACAAGCACACUCUCCGAGCCUGCCGAGCCUAACAGGAGAUCCUCACGGCUCAAGGCCACUGGGUGCCGCCGGAAACGGCGGCGCCUCCCUUUCGGAAAGGAGAACAAUUAUGACUAAC
rnacentral:ncRNA from 1 species